UUCAUCGCUCGCGAUGUUUAACUGACAUGUUUGUGGGACGUCCUACCGGUGGGCUUAGCCUCCUUCGGGGGGCGGUCCAGCUAAUAUCCCAUCGCGGUGCUCUUCAUCGAGUGUCGAGGUGGGCCGGUACGUUUACUUUGAACAAAUUAGAGUGCUCAAAGCAGGCUAUGUUUGCCUGAAUACACGUGCAUGGAAUAAUGGAAUAGGACCUCGGUUCUAU
rnacentral:rRNA from 1 species